rnacentral:lncRNA from 1 species
CCUCUUCCUCUUCCAUCUUCAUCUUCUUCCCCACAACUCAAACCAGAAAUUCAUGAAUCACGUCAUCAUCUUCUUUUAUCAGUUUCAAACACAGAUCUAAGAAGAUUGGCCCAACCUUUCGAGACUCAACCGAGAAUUGAGAGCCUGCAACGAGAGAUCUAGAAUCGAAGCGAGGAAGAAGAAGAUGCCUCUACCGAUGGGUUUCUGUAUGCAGCGGCGGCAACGCAAGAGCAUGGUGGCGGUGUUCUAGAUCUGGUGUUUUAUCAGGUGUGGAGGUUGAGUAUGGUGCGGUGUGCUCCUGGUUCUGU